AGUUUGAUCAUGGCUCAGGACGAACGCUGGCGGUGUGCUUCACACAUGCAAGUCGAACGGGGUAGCAAUACCUAGUGGCGGACGGGUGAGUAACGCGUGGGAAUCUGCCCUGGGGUGGGGAGUAGCAGACCGAAAGGUCUAUUAAUACCGCAUAUGCCGAAAGGUAAAGGAAGUAAUCCGCCCGAGGAUGAGCCUGCGUCCGAUUAGCUAGUUGGUGGGGUAAAAGCCUACCAAGGCUACGAUCGGUAGCUGGUCUGAGAGGAUGAUCAGCCACAAUGGGACUGAGACACGGCCCAUACUCCUACGGGAGGCAGCAGUGGGGAAGUUUUACGCAAUGGGCGAAAGCCUGACGUAGCGACACCGCGUGAGCGAAGAAGCCCUUUGGGGUGUAAAGCUCUGUCGGCUGGAACGAAAAAAAUGACGGUACCAGCAAAGGAAGCAUCGGCUAACUACGUG
rnacentral:rRNA from 1 species